UACGAAGGGGGCUAGCGUUGCUCGGAAUGACUGGGCGUAAAGGGCGCGUAGGCGGUUUGUUCAGUCAGGUGUGAAAUUCCCGGGCUCAACCUGGGGGCUGCACUUGAUACGUAUGGACUGGAGUGGGGAAGAGGGUCGUGGAAUUCCCAGUGUAGAGGUGAAAUUCGUAGAUAUUGGGAAGAACACCGGUGGCGAAGGCGGCGACCUGGUCCUUGACUGACGCUGAGGCGCGAAAGCGUGGGGAGCAAACAGG
rnacentral:rRNA from 1 species